UACGGGGGGAGCAAGCGUUGUUCGGAUUUACUGGGCGUAAAGGGCGCGUAGGCGGCCAGCACAAGUCAGUUGUGAAAUCUCCGAGCUUAACUCGGAACGGUCAACUGAUACUGUGCGGCUAGAGUGCGGAAGGGGCAACUGGAAUUCUUGGUGUAGCGGUGAAAUGCGUAGAUAUCAAGAGGAACACCUGCGGCGAAGGCGGGUUGCUGGCCCGACACUGACGCUGAGGCGCGAAAGCCAGGGGAGCGAACGGG
rnacentral:rRNA from 1 species